UACGGUGUGUGCAAGCGUUACUCGGAAUCACUGGGCUUAAAGAGCACGUAGGCGGAGCUGUAAGUCGUUUGUGAAAUCCCUCGGCUCAACCGGGGAACGGCAGGCGAAACUGCGGCUCUCGAGUGCAAGAGGGGAGAGCGGAACUUCUGGUGGAGCGGUGAAAUGCGUAGAUAUCAGAAGGAACAUCGGUGGCGAAAGCGGCUCUCUGGAUUGCAACUGACGCUGAGGUGCGAAAGCCAGGGGAGCGAACGGG
rnacentral:rRNA from 1 species